GUCCACAUGUCCCUUCACUUGGGGCGUCACACAUUGUUCCAUGCCCAAGGCUGAUUGGCCUCUCUUGUUUGCUAGUUUCUACCUACUGGUAGCAGCACAAACAAAGGGAGAAAGGUUUAAGAAGAGAAGAAGAAGAAGAUCAAGGAAAGAGAUUAAGUGUUGAUCGCGAUCCAGACUUCAUUCAGAUUCAGCAGGCUAAAUUUUCUUAGAAAAAAAUUCAAUUUCUAAAGAGCUAUUUCAGACUGAUCCUAAGAGGAUACUCGUAAAGGCC
rnacentral:lncRNA from 1 species